ACGGGAGGCAGCAGUGGGGAAUAUUGGGCAAUGGGCGGAAGCCUGACCCAGCAACGCCGCGUGAGGGAAGAAGGUUUUCGGAUUGUAAACCUCUGUCCUUGGUGACGAAGGAAGUGACGGUAGCCAAGGAGGAAGCCCCGGCUAACUACGUGCCAGCAGCCGCGGUAAUACGUAGGGGGCGAGCGUUGUCCGGAAUGACUGGGCGUAAAGGGCGUGUAGGCGGCGCUGUAAGUCCGGAGUGAAAGUCCUGCUUUCAAGGUGGGAAUUGCUUUGGAGACUGCAGAGCUUGAGUACGGAAGAGGUAAGUGGAAUUCCCGGUGUAGCGGUGAAAUGCGUAGAGAUCGGGAGGAACACCAGUGGCGAAGGCGACUUACUGGGCCGUAACUGACGCUGAGGCGCGAAAGCGUGGGGAGCGAACAGGAUUAGAUACCCUGGUA
rnacentral:rRNA from 1 species